GAUGAACGCUGGCGGCGUGCCUAAUACAUGCCAGUCGAGCGAACAGACGAGGAGCUUGCUCCUCUGACGUUAGCGGCGGACGGGUGAGUAACACGUGGAUAACCUACCUAUAAGACUGGGAUAACUUCGGGAAACCGGAGCUAAUACCGGAUAAUAUAUUGAACCGCAUGGUUCAAUAGUGAAAGACGGUUUUGCUGUCACUUAUAGAUGGAUCCGCGCCGCAUUAGCUAGUUGGUAAGGUAACGGGUUACCAAGGGAACGAUGCGUAGCCGACCUGAGAGGGUGAUCGGCCACACUGGAACUGAGACACGGUCCAGACUCCUACGGGAGGCAGCAGUAGGGAAUCUUCCGCAAUGGGCGAAAGCUUGACGGAGCAACGCCGCGUGAGUGAUGAAGGUCUUCGGAUCGUAAAACUCUGUUAUUAGGGAAGAACAAAUGUGUAAGUAACUAUGCACGUCUUGACGGUACCUAAUCAGAAAGCCACGGCUAACUACGUG
rnacentral:rRNA from 1 species